AGUUCAUAGGGAAGCACAUUACUAAACUGAAAACAGUACAGAGAAGAUUAGCCUGGCCCCUGCACAGGGGAACAAGCAGAUUAUUUUAAGGAUUUAUAUUUUUUU
rnacentral:snRNA from 1 species